rnacentral:rRNA from 1 species
GUGUCAGCAGCCGCGGUAAAACGUAGGAGACGAACGUUAUCCGGAGUUACUGGGCGUAAAGGGCGUGCAGGCGGCCUGAUAAGUCCGGCGUGAAAUCUUUCGGCUUAACCGGGGGAUGUCGUCGGAGACUGUCGGGCUAGAGGGUGAUAGAGGCGUGUGGAAUUCCGGGUGUAGUGGUGAAAUGCGUAGAGAUCCGGAGGAACACCAGUGGCGAAGGCGACACGCUGGGUCAUACCUGACGCUAAUACGCGACAGCAUGGGGAGCAAACGGGAUUAGAAACCCCUGUAGUCC